rnacentral:rRNA from 1 species
GAUGAACGCUAGCUACAGGCUUAACACAUGCAAGUCGAGGGGAAACGACAUCGAAAGCAUGCUUUUGAUGGGCGUCGACCGGCGCACGGGUGAGUAACGCGUAUCCAACCUGCCCACCACUUGGGGAUAACCUUGCGAAAGUAAGACUAAUACCCAAUGAUAUCUCUAGAAGACAUCUGAAAGAGAUUAAAGAUUUAUCGGUGAUGGAUGGGGAUGCGUCUGAUUAGCUUGUUGGCGGGGUAACGGCCCACCAAGGCAACGAUCAGUAGGGGUUCUGAGAGGAAGGUCCCCCACAUUGGAACUGAGACACGGUCCAAACUCCUACGGGAGGCAGCAGUGAGGAAUAUUGGUCAAUGGACGAGAGUCUGAACCAGCCAAGUAGCGUGCAGGAAGACGGCCCUAUGGGUUGUAAACUGCUUUUAUAAGGGAAUAAAGUGAGUCUCGUGAGACUUUUUGCAUGUACCUUAUGAAUAAGGACCGGCUAAUUCCGUG